rnacentral:lncRNA from 1 species
CUGCCAAGUGGCCUCUGGGACCUGAGGACAGCCUCCAGUGGACAGCCGGGAAGAUGCCAAGGCCCUCCGUACACAGCCGAGGCUAAGUCCCCAGGCAUAAAGGGAAGCACUGGACCAGAUAGAUUCACCGACAUGAGGCACCUGUGCAGCCUUGUGGGCAGCAGCAGCCAAGCAGCCAGUCCUGGCAGGGUCCUGGCCUUGCCCCACACGUUCCAUUCAAAGUUUUGGCAGUGGGGACCGACACCUGCACAACCAAGAUCACUUCCCUGUGGCUUUCGCAAAGCUAGUGUGGCUGCCUUGAGGCUAAAAGGAGGAAAAUAAAGCGAUGGAGGCCAGAAUAAAAGCAGGCAGAAGAACCUGGAAAGAUUAGACUGACUGAGUCUUCUGGACUCCAUCUUUCUCCAUGCUGGAUGCUUCCUGCCUUGGAACAUCGGAUUCCAGUGUUCUUCAGCUUUGGGACUCGGACUGGCUUCCUUACUCCUCAGCUUGCAGAUGGCCUAUUGUAGGACCCCACCUUGUGAUUACGUGAGUCAAUACUCCUUAAUAAACUUCCCUUUAUAAAGACUCAGCCUAGAGUUACUUUUGCAUAGUUUUCAAAAUCCCUUCUUCAAGACAGUCAAUGUUAUUUAUGAUUCUUUGAUAUCCAUAGCCCUUCUACAAAGCGUACUAUGCCUUCUUUAAUAAAGUGGAAUUCUAUGCCCUGUAAUUACUCUGUCUCUUUAUCUGUUGUCAUAUUUCCCAAUCUCUCAGACUCAUUUCUUGCUCAUCCGCUCUUUUUACUCUAUACUCAUUUCCCUUGAGGGUUUGCGAGAUUUAAUAAGCUGUUAUAGUGCCAGAUAUUAUGCUAGCAACAACAAUCCACAGAUAAAAAAGACAGAG